rnacentral:ncRNA from 1 species
GGUUCGCCAGAUCGGGUGUCGUAAGAGGGAACCCGGUGGGAAGCCGGGACUGCCCCGCAGCGGUGAGUGGGCGACGGUGCGUGCCCGCGAGUCCGAAUACCUGCC